AUGGUUUCCCCGCAUCGGAGGAUUUGAUUGACUUGUCUUCUCCUCUUCCACCUCUCGUCGUUGGGUAAGUCGCAGGUAUGGUAUUCGUAAUCGGUCCCGAUCUCGCGCUCUGCUCGCUGUUCUUCGUUUGAUUGUAUUCCAGGCGAGCGUUCUGUCUUGGUUGAGGUGCUCCUUCCGUCGAGUUCUUAGUCCCGGUGGUUUCUCGUCUGUUUCGUUGAUAUUGGUACCGUACGUGUUCUGAACCUUGCUGCUUUGAUUUAGGGUCGCGGCUAAUCUAUUUUGCUUUGACUUCUGAUCUGAUUUAGGGAUCCAUCAUGCUCUGAUUGCGAUAUGAUUUAGGGUCGUGUAUCAUAUUUGCUGAUUUGAGUUAAGGUUGUGAUGAGUAACGGAGAUUAUAUUUGGUGCGAAUUACGAGUUAUGUUGGUAUAGACACGUGGAGCAGUUCGUUUGGUUUCAGUUCUGUUCGUUAUGGCGGAUUGGCCUGGUCGGUUUAGUUGGCCCCGUGGAGAUGUUUGACAUGAUCCGAAUGAGAGAUUGAAGGUUGUGGUUUCAGUUUCGAUUCUUCUGUUCAAUUCAAGGUGAUUCAGUAAUGUUCUGCGUACAAAGUGCUUCAUAUUUUUGCGGCGAAAAACAGUGGGUUGGCGACAGUUCAGACAGUCAAAAUUCUCCAGUAUUUUUGCCUUUGAUCCCGUUCAUUCAUACAUAGUCAGACUCAAUAAGAAUUAGAGGAAGUUGGAAAAAGGUUUGCUAGGUCUAUCCGGAUAUAUUUGCUUUCGCCUAGCAGCCUAUACAUGUCAGAUUAUAUAUGAAAAGGAUUGUGCUAUAUUACCAUGUUACGAAGGUAGAGCUGGGAUAUGUCUUUCUUGAACUGUGUGCACAUGCUCAUGGUGGAGGUGUGAUUCUUCAGUGGCUAUAUUUUGGUGUCAACUUUUGGUUGGUUUCAUUUCAAGAUUGCUAGGAAAAUCGGAGGUUGUGUUUGCAUUCUAGACGUAAUUAUCUUGGGAAGUACCUCAAAUGAACAUGGAAGUUUUGCUUUUGAAGUGAUCUGUUUGAAGGUUCUUUCAACUAGAGUGAAGAAACUAUUGGAUUGUGUCUGCAAAAUUAGUUUACUGCUGCUGUGUUUUUCUGGAGUGGUAUGUCAAGGUCUAUUCAGAUGCUGGUUACUGUGUGGGAUUCUACCAAUCCUUCUGAUCACUAGCUUGUGCGUUUGAUUUUCUACAUGGAUAUUCGGUUGGGCUUCAGCCGGUUUCAUGCUCUGUCCGGUGUUGGAUUAGUCUUAGCCUGAUAAUUAGUACUCUUAUUGUAAUCUGUAGCCAUGUUUUUAUGAUUAGUAUGUUCUAAUGCAAUUUAUGUUGUACACAACUGUCAAUUAUGCAUCUGUUCUGAUGUUGCUUACUGUAACCGAUGUAAUUGUUGAAUGAUAUAUGGAUGCCAUAAUUUAGCCCUUCGUCUUCAUUUUGUUUGGUGUAUAAAAGCUGUAACCAAAUAGCAACUGAAUUUCAUAGCGUGAUGUUCUUUUUUCCUGCAUAAGUUACAUUUUUAUUCAUUGUUCAUCCAUGCAAAUUCAGUGGAUAUUGUUGGGAACAUCCUGCUUUUGUAGUUCUCAUCAUCUCAAGUUAACAAUGAUGACUUUUGACCUAACAUUUUGAACUUUGUUACGUUAUCCAUCGUUAUGUUGUCCGAUCAUCCGUUUAAUCAGUUUAACUGUGAAAUAUGGUGCUUGUUGUGCUGUCCAUAUGCAGAAGAUUAAUUUUAAUUAUCACAUGGGGUGCUUGCAUUUAAUCUUGAUUUCACAUAUAUCAUUCAUGAGUAUCAUAUUAUGUUGCUAUUUUACGUAGUUUGGUAUUAUAAGCUUGAAGUUCAUGUUAAUGUGAGGGUAAUACUGUGAGAUAACUAUGUUAGUCCAUAUAUAGAGUUCUAUGUUUGAAUUAUUUACAGUCUGCUUUUACUCUUGAGUUCCCAACCUAGUUAGUGUCAGUUAAGAUCUUAUACUGUUCAUGGAACACCUUAUAUGAUCUGUAACAGUUUUGAGCAAGUAUUCAAAG
rnacentral:rRNA from 1 species